GUUCUUGUAGUUAAAAGAUAAUAGUAGUUCUUCAAACUACUGAUUUAGGUUAAAGUCCUGAUAAGAAUA
rnacentral:tRNA from 1 species